rnacentral:rRNA from 1 species
UAAAUUUAGAGUUUGAUCCUGGCUCAGGACGAACGCUGGCGGCGUGCUUAACACAUGCAAGUCGAGCGAUGAAACUUCCUUCGGAAAGUGGAUUAGCGGCGGACGGGUGAGUAACACGUGGGUAACCUGCCUCAAAGUGGGGGAUAGCCUUCCGAAAGGAAGAUUAAUACCGCAUAAUAUAAGAGAAUCGCAUGAUUUU